AUAAAAUAAAAUUUCAUUACAAUGCUCUGCCAUAGUGUGCUGAGCUUUUCUGUUCUGGGUGGGUGUGUGUGUGUGUGUGUGUGUGUGUGGUGCUUAAACAUUUGCAUAAAUUCUUUGGAAAAGAAUUUCGGCAAUAUUGUCAUUAUGACACAGUUUCCCAUAGUGACAGCAAAGACAACAGCAGCAACACUGACACCAACACCAAAGUAAAAGAAAAUCUGGCUGUGACAAAAACAGCAAAAAAAACAUCCAACCAAGAGAAGCCUCACAGGAAUUUAAGCACCUCAAAAAGUUUGCAAAUAAAAAUAAAAACAAUAAUAAUAAUAAUGUGAAGACGAUGAGGGGCAAAACGAACAACAAGAACUAAAACAACAACAGCAAAAAAAAAAAUUUAAUUUAAUUCUGUUAUUAGUUUGAACAGCGUCCCAAAAGCAGGCCAAACCACCAUUGCAAGCCGGACAGCCAUUGACCGACCGGUCACUUGUCUUUUUGCCCAAGCAUAACGCCCAAACAAUUGUUGCCACCCAACCACAAAUGAAUUAAAUGCUAAGGAAGGCAAGAAGAAAACCUCCCAAAAAAACACACUGGUGACUUAAGAAAACAAAAAACUAAAAUAUCCCAUAAACGGGUUGGUCUGCGUCUAAGAACCCAACCUUUAUAAUUGAAUUUCCUUAAAACCAAAGACAAAGACAAAAUAAAAGGAAGGAAACGAGCUGAAUUACAGUGUCAAAAAGGGUAUACCAAAUAUUCAAAGGAUAUGGGAGGUAGACGCGACUGCUGAUUAAAGGAAGCAUCGCAAACAUUUUGUUGAAAUUUUAAAAGAAGGUAGCAGCGGGCCUUCGCCGUCGAAUGCUUCUUUUCUAGCGGUCGCUUACUUGUUGCAAUGAAACGUGCCUUCCACGCUCGCUUUGAAAUUCCUCCCCAUAGACCCGUUCCUGGCCGUAAUUCGAUUCUGUCUACUCAUUUCGGGAGUGUGAAAGUGUCGCUUAACCCAGAAGUGGACUUCAACGAACCGUAAAAACCUCGGCAAAAUAUCGAAAAGUGAGGAAGACAGUUCUGCGUUCUCCCCGGUGCUUGGCUCACAAACAAACAGCUGCUAUGAGAAUUUCUGACACCAUUGUUCAACGAAUUCACCAUCAAGAUCUUAAAUUUCA
rnacentral:sRNA from 1 species